rnacentral:rRNA from 1 species
CAAAUGUUCUCUCUCUAAGUGCAUUCUCACAGUUCUCGAGCCUUGGUUCAUCCAUCAGGUCCUUUAAGGACUUUCUUUGCUUCGGCUUGGAAGUAACAAAUGUUCUCUCUCUAAGUGCAUUCUCACAGUUCUCGAGCCUUGGUUCAUCCAUCAGGUCCUUUAAGGACUUUCUUUGCUUCGGCUUGGAAGUAACAAAUGUUCUCUCUCUAAGUGCAUUCUCACAGUUCUCGAGCCUUGGUUCAUCCAUCAGGUCCUUUAAGGACUUUCUUUGCUUCGGCUUGGAAGUAA